GCUAACGCUGGCGGCGUGCCUAAUACAUGCAAGUCGAACGAGGAAAGCACUUCGGUGUGAGUAUGAGUGGCGCACGGGUGAGUAACGCGUGGAUAAUCUGCCCUUUAGCGGGGAAUAACUUACCGAAAGGUAAGCUAAUACCGCAUAAGACCACAGUUUCUGAGGAAACAGGGGUUAAAGAUUUAUCACUAAAGGAUGAGUCCGCGUAAGAUUAGUUAGUUGGUGGGGUAAUGGCCUACCAAGACUUCGAUCUUUAGCUGGUCUGAGAGGAUGACCAGCCACACUGGAACUGAGACACGGUCCAGACUCCUACGGGAGGCAGCAGUGGGGAAUUUUCCGCAAUGGGCGAAAGCCUGACGGAGCAAUACCGCGUGAGGGACGAAGGCUUUUUGGGGUCGUAAACCUCUUUUAUUAGGGAAGAUUUCAGGACGGUACCUAAUGAAUAAGCAUCGGCUAACUCUGUGCCAGCAGCCGCGGUAAU
rnacentral:rRNA from 1 species